AACGAACGCUGGCGGCAGGCUUAACACAUGCAAGUCGAACGCAUCCUUCGGGGUGAGUGGCAGACGGGUGAGUAACGCGUGGGAACGUGCCCUUCAGUUCGGGAUAACCAAGGGAAACUUGGGCUAAUACCGGAUACGUGCGAGAGUAGAAAGAUUUAUCGCUGAAGGAUCGGCCUGCGUCUGAUCAGCUAGGUGGUGGGGUAAUGGCCCACCAAGGCGACGAUCAGUAGCUGGUCUGAGAGGAUGAUCAGCCACAGUGGGACUGAGACACGGCCCAAACUCCUACGGGAGGCAGCAGUGGGGAAUAGUGGAAAAUGGGCGCAAGCCUGAUCCAGCCAUGCCGCGUUAGUGAUGAAGGCCUUAGGGUUGUAAAGCUCUUUCGUCCGGGACGAUAAUGACGGUACCGGAAGAAGAAGCCCCGGCUAACUUCGUGCCAGCCGCCGCCGUAAUAC
rnacentral:rRNA from 1 species